CAAAGAAGUCGCACGUACUCGGACGACCUCAAUUUGAGGGAUAAAAAGAACGGCAAUGACAGCACCCCUGAUGAGUGUACUGCUUGCUUCUAUGGUAUCGCCUCUCAAGGGAUCAUGCCCGGAAAAUACAAGUCCAGUGAUAUGCCAUGGAGCUGCCUUCGUUCCACAAGUAUAUUGUAAUGAUGCCGAUCCCGAAAACUGGCCGUGCAAAAGGCAGCGAAAUAUAAGGUGUGGGUGCAAAGCUGGUUUCGCUCGUGCAAAGAACAAAAAAUGUGUACCUAUAGCACAGUGCGACAUUACAAAUGAUGUUCGAUUGAUAUAUCCAUACGUAACACACGAUAAAUCAAAUGGCAAUAAGAAAGGUCCAGAUGUGCAAGGAACUGAAGGUGAACUCACCAAGCUCGGUAAAAGUGUUUUAAAGUUCCUUCAGCAAACAGGAAGCAUAUAUCUGUUUAAAGUUUCAAGUACAUUCACAGUAAGUGAUACGUGCGUCUGCCUGAAGUCUGAAUUUCAAGUGAAUGGACCUGAGGAAACUGUCGAACGCACAUUAGAGUGCUAUUAUUAUGUGCC